CGAUGAACCUUAGCUUGCUAAGGGGUUAGUGGCGAACGGGUGAGUAAUAUAUCGGAACGUGCCUUGUAAUGGGGGAUAACUAGUCGAAAGAUUAGCUAAUACCGCAUACGCCCUGAGGGGGAAAGUAGGGGAUCUUCGGACCUUACGUUAUAAGAGCGGCCGAUAUCUGAUUAGCUAGUUGGUGGGGUAAUGGCCUACCAAGGCUUCGAUCAGUAGCUGGUCUGAGAGGACGACCAGCCACACUGGAACUGAGACACGGUCCAGACUCCUACGGGAGGCAGCAGUGGGGAAUUUUGGACAAUGGGCGCAAGCCUGAUCCAGCCAUUCCGCGUGAGUGAAGAAGGCCUUCGGGUUGUAAAGCUCUUUCGCAAGGGAAGAAAACUUACUUUCUAAUAAAGAGUGAGGCUGAC
rnacentral:rRNA from 1 species